rnacentral:rRNA from 1 species
AGAUUAAACUGAAGAGUUUGAUCAUGGCUCAGAUUGAACGCUGGCGGCAGGCUUAACACAUGCAAGUCGAGCGGUAACAGAUCUAGCUUGCUAGAUGCUGACGAGCGGCGGACGGGUGAGUAACGCGUAGGAA